rnacentral:tRNA from 1 species
CGGGGCGUGGCACAGUUGGUAGCGCGCUGCGUUUGGGACGCAGAGGUCGCCUGUUCGAGUCAGGUCGCCCCGACCA